rnacentral:tRNA from 1 species
GCGAAGGUGGCGGAAUUGGUAGACGCGCCGGACUUAGAAUCCGGUACUUCGGUGUGGGGGUUCAAAUCCCCCCCUUUGCACCA